rnacentral:rRNA from 1 species
AGCGAACGCUGGCGGUAGGCCUAACACAUGCAAGUCGAACGGCAGCACAGUAAGAGCUUGCUCUUACGGGUGGCGAGUGGCGGACGGGUGAGGAAUACAUCGGAAUCUACUUUUUCGUGGGGGAUAACGGAGGUAAACUUACGCUAAUACCGCAUACGCCCUACGGGUGAAAGCAGGGGAUCUUCGGACCUUGCGCGAUUGAAUGAGCCGAUGUCGGAUUAGCUAGUUGGCGGGGUAAAGGCCCACCAAGGCGACGAUCCGUAGCUGGUCUGAGAGGAUGAUCAGCCACACUGGAACGGAGACAGGGUCCAGAGGCCUGCGGGAGGCAGCAGUGGGCAAUAUUGGGCAAUGGGCGCGAGCCUGGUCCAGCCAUACCGCGUGGGUGAAGAAGGCCUUCGGGUUGUAAAGCCCUUUUGUUGGGAGAGAAAAGCAUCCGGUUGAUACCCAGCUGUUCUGACGGUACCCAAAGAAUAAGCACCGGCUAACUUCGUG